UACGUAGGAUGCUAGCGUUGUCCGGAUUUACUGGGCGUAAAGCGCGCGCAGGCGGCACUGUAAGUAAGGUGUGAAAUAUCCCUGCUCAACGGGGAGGGUGCACUUUAGACUGCAGAGCUAGAGGACGGUAGAGGGGGUGGAAUUGCUGGUGUAGCGGUGAAAUGCGUAGAGAUCAGCAGGAACACCCGUGGCGAAGGCGGCCCCCUGGGCCGAACCUGACGCUGAGGCGCGAAGGCUAGGGGAGCGAACGGG
rnacentral:rRNA from 1 species